ACCAUUGUGGUCGUCGUCGUCAAAUACCGAACAUCCGGGGGCUUGGGCCGCCAUUUUGCAUUUUCUGUCUACUUCGGCGUGCCUCGUGUCGGCUGCUCUCUGCGCCGCACUGUACCCCGCGGUACUGCUGGCUCCCGGAUUUUAAGCGACGGCCAGCGGGAAUUUCAGCCCUUGGGGCAUAUGCUACGUUACUAUACGCCAAGGACACUCCGGUUAAGCCGCCGAAGCGUAUAAGUCGCAGGUCUUGCCUGCCUAGUACUCGUUUCUUUGUGUGUGCGUGUUCCCACUCGUCGGCGACGCCUGGACUACGAACUGUGGACGAACUCUGACCAUGGCCACUAACCGAGGACCUGCGCAGCGACCCUUCAUCACGGCGAGCGUCGUCACGGCGAGCUUCCACACGUCGAGCGUCGUCAGCGCUCACGAGCUAAGUCCUAUAGAUGGUCCCCAAGCUGGCGAGGGUGGCGCACGCCUUAGCGAAGUUAACUGUUAAGUUCUACUAGUUAGCGCUCGCUAUGAUUGUAAAGUUACGUUUGAAAAUUACGUAAAGUUAGUUUUGUUGCUUAACUGUAAGCCCGAGGAGUUUCGUUGGCAUGGCUGCGACCACAUGGGUCUCCCCCGUGCCGGAAUCGAAGAGGACGGGCCACCGUGUUCGGGGUGGCGGCGUGUGUAGCUUCAGGCUUAGCUGACACACAGCUUAGCUCACACUAGGCAGGCUAGCUGAUAGCGUCCUCUUUUCGACUGCGGCAAGGACAUGGACCCGUUCCGAAUUGCACUGCGACCCGACCACUAUUUCGUGACAAGGUAGCCCGGGCGCGUCAGUGCUAUCGAGCGAAAUGUGGAAUCGGGGGAGCACUCGGAAUUACCUCGCCAGCUUUUAGCUACUAAUCCUGCUUAACGCAGCCCUCGACGCCGGACGUCGCCUGCGGUCCUCAUCGGAGCUUGGCCGGGCAGCAGCGACAAGCAUCACUCGUAGCGCGGCCUACCGUGUUCCCUCGUCGGUGUGGUCUUGUUGGCAGGUGAGACCAUGGUCAUCGCCCUGCACUACUACGGGAUCCCAACUUUUGCUUUCGAUUGCGGCCCACGAGUAGGAAGGAUAUCCAGUGUGCUGCUCCACGUUUGCCAUCCUCCCAACGUCCUCCCACAGGAGAUGGCCCUGAGCACCACUCGUACCGUGGCUGGCCGCGUUGGCUCCAUUGCAUUCUACCACCCGUGUCCUGCCGGCAGACGGGACUUGGUUUGGAGCCCUGCCACUACUGAAUCUUGACCUCUGCUUUCGGUUGCGGCCCACGAGUAGGAUAUCCAGUGUGCUGCUCCACGUUUGCCAUCCUCCCAACGUCCCCAUACAGGAGAUGGCCUUGAGCACCACUUGUACCGUGGCCGACCGCGCUUUAUCGUCGGUGUGCGGUCUUGCUGGCAAACGAAGACUGCUCAUCGCCCUGCACCACUACGUGAUCCCAAAGUCUGCUUUCGAUUACGGCCUACGAGUAGAGACAUCAGUGUGCCGCUUCUUGCCAUCCUCCCAACUUCCCACAGGAGAUGGCUUUGAGCACAACUGGCACCGUGGCAGACCGUGUUUGUUACAUUGCGUUCCCUCACCGAUGGCGUCCUGCAGGCAGACGGGACUUGCUCCUACUACUGGUGUUCGUUUUCGAUAGCGGUGCACCAGGACAAUCCAGGCAGUGCUUCCAAAAGAUCUCAUUGAGCAGCAAUCGUCCCAUGGCGGCCCACCUGAGCACAUCGGCCGACAACUGUGGACAUCGAAGUCUGAGCGUGGCCACAAACCGACGACCUGCGGAGCAACCCCUCAUCACAGCGAGCUUCUUUCUUCGCGACGAGCUUAAAUGCUCAACAAGUGAGAUGCCAGAUGGUCCCCAAGCUGGCGAGGGUGGCGCACGCCUUAGCUAAGUUAACUGUUACGUUUCAUCAGUUGGCGCUCGCUAGGAUUGUAUAGUUACGUUUGAAAAUUAGGUAAAAUUAGUUUUGUUGCUUAACUGUAAGCCCGAGAGUUUCAUGGGCAUGGCUGCGACCACGUGGGUCUCCCCCGUGCCGGAAUCGAAGAGGACGGGCCACCGUGUUCGGGGUGGCGGCGUGUGUAGCUUCAGGCUUAGCUGACACACAGCUUAGCUCACACUAGGCAGGCUAGCUGAUAGCGUCCUCUUUUCGACUGCGGCAAGGACAUGGACCCGUUCCGAAUUGCACUGCGACCCGACCACUAUUUCGUGACGAGGUAGCCCGGGCGCGUCAGUGCUAUCGAGCGAAAUGUGGAAUCGGGGGAGCACUCGGAAUUACCUCGCCAGCUUUUAGCUACUAAUCCUGCUUAACGCAGCCCUCGACGCCGGACGUCGCCUGCGGUCCUCAUCGGAGCUCGGCCGGGCAGCAGCGACAAGCAUCACUAGUAGUGCGGCCUACCGUGUUCCCUCGUCGGUGUGGUCUUGCUGGCAGGCGAGACCAUGGUCAUCGCCCUGCACUACUACGGGAUCCCAACUUUUGCUUUCGAUUGCGGGCCACGAGUAGGAAGGAUAUCCAGUGUGCUGCUCCACGUUUGCCAUCCUCCCAACGUCCUCCCACAGGAGAUGGCCCUGAGCACCACUCGUACCAUGGCUGGCCGCGUUGGCUCCAUUGCAUUCUACCACCCAUGGUGUCCUGCCGGCAGACGGGACUUGGUUUGGAGCCCUGCUACUACUGAAUCUUGACCUCUGCUUUCGGUUGCGGCCCACGAGUAGGAUAUCCAGUGUGCUGCUCCACGUUUGCCAUCCUCCCAACGUCCCCAUACAGGAGAUGGCCCUGAGCACCACUUGUACCGUGGCCGACCGCGCUUUAUCGUCGGUGUGCGGUCUUGCUGGCAAACGAAGACUGCUCAUCGCCCUGCCCCACUACGUGAUCCCAACGUCUGCUUUCGAUUACGGCCUACGAGUAGAGACAUCAGUGUGCCGCUCCUUGCCAUCCUCCCAACGUCCCACAGGGGAUGGCUUUGAGCACCACUCGCACCGUGGCAGACCGUGUUUGUUACAUUGCGUUCCCUCACCGAUGGCGUCCUGCAGGCAGACGGGACUUGCUCCUACUACUGGUGUUCGUUUUCGAUGGCGGUGCACCAGGACAUUCCAGACAGUGUUUCCAAAAGAUAUAACAUUGAGCAGCAAUCGUCCUAUGGCUGUCCACCUGAGCAUAUCGGCCAACAACUGUGGACAUCGAAGUCUGAGCGUGGCCACAAACCCAGGACCUGCGGAGCAACCGCUCGUCACAGCGAGCUUCUUUCUUCGCGACGAGCUUAAAUGCUCAUCAAGUAAGAUAGAUGCCAGAUGUUCUCCAAGCUGGCGAGGGUGGCGCGUGCUUUUGAGAAGUCGUCAGUUGAGUGUAGCUGUAUUCGAAAAUUGCGUAAGUUUAGUUUAGGUGAUUAAUUUUAAGCCCGAAGUUUAGUGGGCACUGCAUGCGGCCACAUCGGGUCUUCUCCCUGAUGGAAUCGAAGAGGACGGGUCCACACCCGCGGUGGCGGCGGGUGUAGCUUCAGGCUUAGCGAAUUGCGGGUAGGCUUAGCUGGCGCACCCGGCAGGCUAUAGCUGACAGCCGUCCUCUUUCGAUUGUGCCAGGGACAUUAACCCGUUCUGCAUGUCCUUGCGACCCGACCACUAUUUCGUGACAAGAUAGCCCGGGCGCGUCAGUGCUAUCGAGCGAAAUGUGGAUUCGUGGAAGCAAACGACAUCCGGAAUCGCCUCGCCAGCUUUAGCUGCCGUGGCAUCGCACGUCGCCUUGGGUCUCCAGCGCAUCUCGGGCCUGCAGCUGAUAAUGUAAGUGGUCCAUUUCGUUGUAAUUGCAGCUGUUCGUUUUUUGGCGUUUACGCUCCUCCCUUCGUUGCAGAAGAUGACCUUGAAAGCCACUCGAAUACCGUCGCCGACCGUGUUGGCUUCGCAUUCCCUCGCCGGUGGCCUUGCUGGUGAACGAUACUUUGUUCCUCGCCCGGCACUACUCCUGGCAAGUACCUUGAACACUCGAAUCGUACUAUACCUGUGUUCUCGAGUGUUUAAUAAGCCCCGCGUGUUUUCAGGUUCCGACCGUCUGCUUUCGAUUGCGGCUAUUCACAAGGAUAUCCGGCGCGCUUCUGCGCAGUCUAGUGUCCGGCCUACGCUAGAGACGCAUUUAACUCUACUCGUCCUAUAUGGCCGCGGCCGUGUUACAUCUGCCUCUUCUCGCCGGUGGCUUCCUGCUGGGAGACGGAGUGUUGCUCGGCUACCUGUGCUGGUUCUGGCAAAAACCAUGUACAUUUCAAUCUCGCUACAGAUGUGUUCUCGUGUGGUUCAUCAGCCCUGCGGCAUUUGAUUCCCAACGUCUGCUUUUGAAUUAAGCGUCGUCAGAAGUUGUUAAAUACUAUGCUUUCUUUGCUAGUCGGUCUUCUCGAAUUGCUUGAUGCAGCAUAUGGUAUUUAACGUUCUCGGAUUUUUCCGACCGCGCUCGUUGUGCCAUUCCAGGCGUGCAAUACUUUGCAUUGCGCAGUUGUACUUUCCUCCCAGUACUGAAUUUGUUGCUCUUUGCAUGGGAGUUUUCUCUCUCCAUCCUUCUGAACAGUCCUUGUGAAUUAUGUAACUACAUGGUCCAAUUGAUGCAGUGUUUUUCUGAAGAGUUAUGGCAAUAUUUUCCAUUUUCCACAACUUUCCGAUUUCGUAAAUUUCGUCAGUUUCUGCGGUGUGAAGAACCGUGACGGGUUUCACUUUUAGUACUUCUAAUUCUACACCCCAUGGGCCAUGGACAAUCCAUUUGCGAGUGCUUUCCAUUAUACGUUAGCCAUUUUACUCGUUUUGUUGUUCGUCCGCAGUAAAAAUCGUAUCUAAGCGUCUCUAGCAUUUUUCACCUUUGUCAUCCGCAAUCUUUAUUCCCAUCCUGUUCAUAUAUAACUCGCUUGUCGUUGAGUCAACGAAGUCGUCCUUUUGCUAUUACGUCUACUUCAAUGAUAUUGAUUAGUUACUAAUUCAUCUGGAUUUUGUUUCGAUAAAGCAGUUUCAACUAGUCCUCUCGCUUUCUCUUAGUCCGAAUGCUCCCAGCGUGAGUGUCUGUGCGGUCGAAUUUAGAAACUAGUUUUCGUGCCACACAGGCCCAUGUAUAUUCGUUGGCUUCCACACGAAAUUCUCGCAUCGUCUGCUCAAUUUUAACAUUCUGCAACUGUCCUAUAGCGACGGUCGUGUAUAGUAGAGCUGAACGAUCUUCGUGCGGUUUAGGAGAUGCUAUAGUUGUCAUCAGCCACAUCGGGUGUUCCUUUUGCGUCAUUUGACUUGCUCUCGUUCAUUAUCGUUAAGCACAUUUCAUGUUGCUUCGCAACGCUUGCAAACGACGGUUGCCUUGCAAGAUUUUGCAUUACAUUUUGGUCUCGCGUGCCGGCAGCAUUUAUUUUCGUAUCGAAGCUUCUGCUUCAUGUCCAUGUGCAGCUUCCUUCACAUCACAAAGUAGUGCAACUUCUGGUAAAUUCUGUCGAAGAUGAAUUGAGCUUUGAAGCUGUCUGCGAUGUCUUUGCCGCGUCAGAUUGCUGCCGUCAAACAUUAAAAUCUCUAGUUUCGGCAGCUUGACGUAACUGCCAUGAUCCAAAGACCGAUUAACUGACGCUGACUGCGCACUUUCUAUUGAUGCGUUAUCGCAAUCGUUCGUCGUUAGUCAUUUUAUUGAUCCUGGGCUAUCCUUUAAUUUGUUGUAAUUACCUUCACGUCACAUUCCGCUACUUUCUAAUUUGGUCCGACUCCGUUCCCUUGAUGACAAACGUCUCCAUCUGUGCAUUUUUGGCUCGGCAACUGUUAAGCCCUUGAUUUGACUUAGUCUCGUGGUUACAGAAACUGUCUUCUCCGUAGCUCAUUUUACUUUCUGCCUCUUAAGGUUCACUGUCUCCAUCCUUGGUUCAUUUUUCGAUACUUUCUAUUCAUGUUCAAAAUACAGGCUUACAUUCACGACGUAGCAACGGCUUCUAGUUUCUCUUUUGCGGUUGCUCUUGGCUCCACGGCCUCCAUUCCCGAUUGCCAAUCGCAUGUCAGCUGUCUCGUUUUCCUUCACUGUUGUUCUUGGCGACGAGGGUCGAGUCCAGGUUCUGAGCUCCUGUUUUCGAUUGUGGCCCACAAGGACACCCAGCCCGCUCCUGCAUUCUCUCCGGUCUACGCUCCAGCGGAGAUGAGCACGAGCACCACCCUUCCCAUGAGCGACUGCUACGACUUCUACAUUCUCUCGGCGAUGGCGUCCUGCUGGCGGACUCGACUUUCCUUCUCGCCCUACACUGCUGCUGGUUCUGAACUCCUGUGGCCUACAAGGACACCCAGCCCGCUCCUGCAUUCUCUCCGGUCUACGCUCCAGCGGAGAUGAACACGAGCACCACCCUUCCCAUGAGCGACUGUUAUGACUUCUACAUUCUCUCGCCGAUGGCGUCCUGCUGGCAGACUGGACUUUCCUUCUCGCCCUACACUGCUGCUGGUUCUGAACUCCUGUGGCCUACAAGGACACCCAGCCCGCUCCUGCAUUCUCUCCGGUCUACGCUCCAGCGGAGAUGAGCACCACCCUUCCAAUGAGCGACUGUUACUUCUACAUUCUCUCGCGGAUGGCGUCCUGCUGGCAGACUGGACUUUCCCUCUCGCCCUACACUGCUGCUGGUUCUGAACUCCUGUGGCCUACAAGGACACCCAGCCCGCUCCUGCAUUCUCUCCGGUCUACGCUCCAGCGGAGAUGAGCACGAGCACCACCCUUCCCAUGAGCGACUGCUACGACUUCUACAUUCUCUCGGCGAUGGCGUCCUGCUGGCGGACUCGACUUUCCUUCUCGCCCUACACUGCUGCUGGUUCUGAACUCCUGUUUUCGAUUGUCGUCCACAAGGACACCCAGCCCGCUCCUGCAUUCUCUCCGGUCUACGCUCCAGCGGAGAUAAGCACGAGCACCACCCUUCCCAUGAGCGACUGCUACGACUUCUACAUUCUCUCGCCGAUGGCGUCCUGCUGGCAGACUGGACUUGGCCUGGCAACCUUACACGUAAUUCUG
rnacentral:lncRNA from 1 species